UUUUGAAAAGAAAACAUCUUUCUCUACUCUCAUACUCGUAUCUUGCAUCUUUUCGUGACAAGGAUUUUUCGUGAAGAAAUAUAAUUUGACUUGGAUCAGCGAAUGUUUGGCAUGUGCAUUCGUCACACAUUGAAGGUGCCUUUUUCCCAAUUUGACAUAAGUAUAAGUACUUCAAGAGGGAGUUUCGUCAAAGAAAAAUAAUUUCAUUUGGAACAGGGAAUUUUUCACAUGGAAUGGAAAUUUUCUUAAAGAGUUAAAACUCUGAUUCAGUAGAAAGGAGUUCAAAAAAACUCUGUUCCAAGUCACCAUUCAUCGAAAUUUAAAAUUUCCUUCUUUCGAAUUCAGAAAAAAGUGCUUCAC